UCCCCAGUGGUCCAGUGGUAAGACGCUGUGCUCCCAAUGCAGGGGGCCCAGGUUCAAUCCCUGGUUGGGGAA